CAAGAAAUAGUUUAAUUAAAAUAUUAAUUUUGGAGAUUAAAGAUGAUUUUAGAAUUUUUCUUGA
rnacentral:tRNA from 1 species